ensembl:lncRNA
CAGCUUUACAAAAAACAACACACAGAAGCUGAGAUGGUGUCGGUUUUAUUCAAUUCCACUGAGGCUGACUGGAGUUUGUACUGUAUGUGUAGUGGUGUGUGGGUAAAAUCACUAGGAAAGCACCCCCCACAAAAAGGCAGAUUUAAACCUGUGUUGUGAUAAUUGUGAUGUUUGCUCUAUAACAUAUAUACAUUAACCUUGAGACUGUGAUAUAUAAUCAUGGACGGAGACACAUUUAGAAAGAUCCUGUCGUACUGCAUUUUAUUAUUGUAUACAAAGAAAAACAAGACACGUGUAUAAAUGCAUUGCUUCAAAACUACUCUUAGUAGCCUCAGUAAGAAGACACUUAUCCACAGCAAAAUAUUACAACCCCUUUUUUAAAGAAACAUAGCAUUUGAAAUAAAUACGUUUGGAUGAUAACAUCUUGCUGAUUGCAUUGGGGGCAAUGCACUUUCACACUAUUUACACUUUAAAUCUGACUAAAUAAUCAUCACCGUCUCACAGACCCUCAGUGCUCACAGAAACUGUUGCCCUUUACAUUCAAACCUCAUCCCUUCAUCGUCACAUUCUAUUUUUAAAUGUGCUUUUGUCAAGGAACCAAAAGUGAAAACUACACAUUUUUCCCAUUACCAGAAUAUACAGUGUACUGUAUACUAUAUAAAGACAGGACAAUGUACCAGAUAUAACUUGGUGUCAAACAGAAGACAUGCAAGCACUCAAUAAAGUGAAGAAUAUGAAUGUGACCAACAUGUCCCUCUUGAAGGUGACAUAAAGUAGACUAUACAGGUUACAUAAAGUAGACUAUACAGGUUACAUAAAGUAGACGAUACAGGUUACAUAAAGUAGACUAUAGAGGUCACAUAAAGUAGACUAUAGAGGUCACAUAAAGUAGACUAUACAGGUUACAUAAAGUAGACUAUACAGGUUACAUAAAGUAGACGAUACAGGUUACAUAAAGUAGACUAUAGAGGUCACAUAAAGUAGACUAUAGAGGUCACAUAAAGUAGACUAUACAGGUUACAUAGAGUAGACUAUACAGGUUACAUAAAGUAGACGAUACAGGUCACAUAAAGUAGACUAUACAGGUUACAUAAAGUAGACUAUACAGGUUACAUAAAGUAGACUAUACAGGUUACAUAAAGUAGACUAUACAGGCUACAUAGAGUAGACUAGACAGGUUACAUAAAGUAGACUAUACAGGUUACAUAAAGUAGACUACACAGGCUACAUAAAGUAGACUGUACAGGUUACAUAAAGUAGACGGUACAGGUUACAUAGAUUAGAUUAUACAGGUUACAUAAAGUAGACUAUACAGGUUACAUAAAGUAGACUAUACAGGUUACAUAAAGUAGACUAUACAGGUUACAUAGAGUAGACUAUACAGGUUACAUAAAGUAGACUAUACAGGUUACAUAAAGUAGACUAUACAGGUUACAUAGAGUAGACUAUACAGGUUACAUAAAGUAGACUAUACAGGUUACAUAAAGUAGACUAUACAGGUUACAUAGAGUAGACUAUACAGGUUACAUAAAGUAGACUAUACAGGUUACAUAAAGUAGACUAUACAGGUUACAUAAAGUAGACUGUACAGGUUACAUAAAGUAGACUAUACAGGUUACAUAAAGUAGACUGUACAGGUUACAUAAAGUAGACUAUACAGGUUACAUAAAGUAGACUGUACAGGUUACAUAAAGUAGACUAUACAGGUUACAUAAAGUAGACUAUACAGGUUACAUAAAGUAGACUAUACAGGUUACAUAAAGUAGACUAUACAGGUUACAUAAAGUAGACUAUACAGGUUACAUAAAGUAGACUAUACAGGUUACAUAAAGUAGACUAUACAGGCUACAUAAAGUAGACUGUACAGGUUACAUAAAGUAGACUAUACAGGUUACAUAGAGUAGACUAUACAGGUUACAUAGAGUAGACUAUACAGGUUACAUAAAGUAGACUAUACAGGUUACAUAAAGUAGACUAUACAGGUUACAUAAAGUAGACUAUGCAGGUUAUUUACCAGGAUUUGGAGUGUAGAUGAGUAGAUCUGUCAGGUGUGUUAGACAGUAGAGGGGUGUCACUACAUUCCUCAGUGUUUGUUUAUACUGUAAGCUUAUGGUGUCUGUCAGGAACGCCACACCAGACACACCCUUACGUAUUCUCUUGGCAGUUAGUCACGUUGUAAAAUCUGUGUCCUUGGUAACUCAAAGCAGAAUGAGAAAAAAACAACACAGUUAUUGGCGGCUUGAAAAAAUGUAUGUGUUGCGUAAGUUGUUUUCUAUGUCAGCUGAAUGCACCUUUAAGUUCAUUGAACCAUGGUUAUGUGAGUGUGAAUUUACGUUGUACGUAAAUUCCCCAUAUUAAUUCCCCUCCCCAUAUUUAAGUCAUUUAAUGGACAACAACACUUAGGCUUCUACUUACAACACUUAGGUUCCAGCUUAUACAUACUAUAUACAUACACAGUAUAUUUGACAAUCUUGUUCUAUUUGACAUAUAUUUAUCAACUGUGCUGUGAUGUUUCACAAAAGUUCCGAACCAAAAGUCAUACACCCAAUGUUUAUUUAGGUAUAUGUGGGUCUUUUAACAACAUCGGUCAUGCAUCUUGUUGACAUUCAUCCAAGGACAUCUCAACUUCAUUACAAAUCCUCAACAACAACAAAAAAUCCCGUGACUUGUACUUAGAGAGACCAUUCCUUUAAACGCAUCCUGAUACAAACAGGAAACAAGUUGUGGACGAACCAGAAACAUUUUACGAAGUGCAUCACCUUCCUCACUUUCCCCUCCUCUCAUCUCUCCCAUCCUUGUUAUUGUCUCACAAAUCCCUCCUGUCUCUCUUAUCACCCCUCUUGUGUCUCUAUGACCCCACUUGUCUCUCUAUCACCCCUUCUGGCUCCCCUAUCUCCCCUGCUCUCCCUCAUAUCACCCCUCAUGUACAUCCUAUCUCCUCUCCUGUCCCUCCUAUCACCCUUCCUCUCCCUCCUAUCACCAAUACUGUCUCUCCUAUCACCCCUCCUGUCCCUUCUAUCACCCUUCCUGUCCCUCCUAUCAAUCGUCCUAUCACCCCUCCUGUCC